GGCCACCUGAGCCUGACGCCCCCUUCCUGGGGCAUUUGCCUCCGGCGGCGUCAUAAGGAGCCAGCGACGGACAAAAGCAAAACGCCCAAGAAUAAUUGCUGAAUGAAAGAACGCACAGUCACUCCGGAGACUGGUCAGAGGCGCUUCCCUUCCUGGAGCCCCUGUCCUCGCAUCUGGGAAAUGGGCUUCGUCACUCCAGUUGCCAGAGCUGCCCUGCCCCAACACCCGGCUCUCCGUGGCUCCUCGGUGACCGCUGUGUCCUCACUCCUGAAGAACACCAUGAGAGGCCCCUCGACAUCAGAACUGUCAGCUGGUCCGUCCCUGAAGGAGACUGUGGGAGUUGCUCCUUCUGAGGAACACAUCCCUUUGGGCCUCGAAGGCUGCUCCUGUUUCCAGAAGCUCCUGAGAAAGGCCACCAUCCCUGGGGUCUCACCCGAAGGCCUUUGUGAGCCAGUGCCCCCCGGGGGCUGGGGGCAGGUGUCCAGG